AUUGAACGCUGGCGGCAGGCUUAACACAUGCAAGUCGAGCGGAGUGAUGGUGCUUGCACUAUCACUUAGCGGCGGACGGGUGAGUAAUGCUUAGGAAUCUGCCUAUUAGUGGGGGACAACAUCUCGAAAGGGAUGCUAAUACCGCAUACGUCCUACGGGAGAAAGCAGGGGAUCACUUGUGACCUUGCGCUAAUAGAUGAGCCUAAGUCGGAUUAGCUAGUUGGUGGGGUAAAGGCCUACCAAGGCGACGAUCUGUAGCGGGUCUGAGAGGAUGAUCCGCCACAAUGGGACUGAGACACGGCCCAGACUCCUACGGGAGGCAGCAGUGGGGAAUAUUGGACAAUGGGGGGAACCCUGAUCCAGCCAUGCCGCGUGUGUGAAGAAGGCCUUAUGGUUGUAAAGCACUUUAAGCGAGGAGGAGGCUCUUUUGGUUAAUACCCAAGAUGAGUGGACGUUACUCGCAGAAUAAGCACCGGCUAACUCUGUGCCAGCCGCCGCCCGUAA
rnacentral:rRNA from 1 species